rnacentral:rRNA from 1 species
UACGUAGGGCGCAAGCGUUGUCCGGAAUUAUUGGGCGUAAAGAGCUCGUAGGCGGCUUGUCACGUCGGGUGUGAAAGACCGGGGCUUAACCCCGGUUCUGCAUUCGAUACGGGCUGGCUAGAGUGUGGUAGGGGAGAUCGAAUUCCUGGUGUAGCGGUGAAAAUGCGCAGAUAUCAGGAGGAACACCGGUGGCGAAGGCGGAUCUCUGGGCCAUUACUGACGCUGAGGAGCGAAAGCGUGGGGAGCGAACAGG